CAGAUUAUGUCAAGGACAUUUGUUAUUUACAUUAACAAUUUAUUUGUGCAAUUCAAUUUGAUCUGA
rnacentral:tRNA from 1 species